rnacentral:rRNA from 1 species
UACGGGGGGUGCGAGCGUUGUCCGGAAUCACUGGGCGUAAAGGGCGCGUAGGUGGCUUGGUAAGCGUGUGGUGAAAGCCCGGGGCUCAACCCCGGGUCUGCCAUGCGAACUGCUAUGGCUUGAGCACUGUAGAGGCAGGUAGAAUUCCAGGUGUAGCGGUGAAAUGCGUAGAUAUCUGGAGGAACACCGGUGGCGAAGGCGGCAUCCUGGACCGAUAUUGACGCUGAUGCGCGAAAGCCAGGGGAGCAAACGGG